GUUUAAUAUAACUGCAUGACAGAUAACAUCUGAUCACAUUGUAAAGAUUUAAUAUAACUGCACAACAUCUGAUCACAUUGUAAAGAUUUAAUAUAACUGCACAACAUCUGAUCACAUUGUAAAGGUUUAAUAUAACUGCAUGGCAGGUAAUAUCUGAUCACAUUAUAAAGGUUUAAUAUAAAUGCACAACAGAUCACAUUGUAAAUGUUUAAUAUCACUGCAUGACAUCUGAUCACAUAUGAAGGUUUAAAUGUAACUUUACAACAGGUAAAAUCAGGUCAAA